AUUGAACGCUGGCGGCAUGCCUUACACAUGCAAGUCGAACGGAAGCAUGAUCUCGCUUGCUAGAUUGAUGGCGCGUGGCGAACGGGUGAGUAAUACAUCGGAACGUGCCCUGUAGUGGGGGAUAACUAGUCGAACGAUUAGCUAAUACCGCAUACGACCUGAUGGUGAAAGUGGGGGACCGCAAGGCCUCAUGCUAUAGGAGCGGCCGAUGUCUGAUUAGCUAGUUGGUGAGGUAAAGGCUCACCAAGGCGACGAUCAGUAGCUGGUCUGAGAGGACGAACAGCCACACUGGGACUGAGACACGGCCCAGACUCCUACGGGAGGCAGCAGUGAGGAAUUUUGGACAAUGGGCGAAAGCCUGAUCCAGCAAUGCCGCGUGUGGGAAGAAGGCCUUCGGGUUGUAAAGCACUUUUGUCCGGAAAGAAAUGGCUCUGGUUAAUACCAGGGGUCGAUGACGGUACCGGAAGAAUAAGGACCGGCUAACUACGUG
rnacentral:rRNA from 1 species